rnacentral:rRNA from 1 species
CAGGUGCUGCAUGGCUGUCGUCAGCUCGUGUUGUGAAAUGUUGGGGUUUAAAGUCCCGCAACGAGCGCAACCCUUAUCCUUUGUUGCCAGCGGCUCGGCCGGGAACUCAAAGGAGACUGCCGGUGAUAAACCGGAGGAAGGUGGGGAUGACGUCAAGUCAUCAUGGCCCUUACGGCCAGGGCUACACACGUGCUACAAUGGCGCAUACAAAGAGAAGCGACCUUGCGAGAGCAAGCGGACCUCAUAAAGUGCGUCGUAGUCCGGAUUGGAGUCUGCAACUCGACUCCAUGAAGUCGGAAUCGCUAGUAAUCGUAGAUCAGAAUGCUACGGUGAAUACGUUCCCGGGCCUUGUACACACCGCCCGUCACACCAUGGGAGUGGGUUGCAAAAGAAGUAGGUAGCUUAACCUUCGGGAGGGCGCUUACCACUUUGUGAUUCAUGACUGGGGUGAAGUCGUAACAAGGUAGGCGUAGCGAG